UAGCUCAGUGGGUAAAGAAUCUGCCUGAAAGGCAGGAGACCCAGGUUCGAUUCCUGG
rnacentral:tRNA from 1 species